GCCCUUCUGCUCUGAAGACCCUGCUGGCUGAAGCAGAGGACUGUGCUGCCACGGUCAUUCAGUGCUGCUGUAUUUGUUACCAGCUCAUACCUCUUAGCCACUGCCUGGGAUGGAGACUCUGCUGUGCUGACAUCCAUCCAGUUUGGUGUUUCUUCAAUCUGAGAAGAUCAAGCAGACGCCACGUGUACAGAGUAGCCCAGGCAGCCAGAUGACACGGUACCGUUUUGACCUGAAAGUCUGACUUCUGCUCAACAUCAAGAGGCAAACCUUUAUCUCUGCGUGUAGUGCUGCGGGAUGUAGGGAAGAAUCCGCUCUCUCCGUUAGUGAACGGAGCUGAUCUAGGUGUUUUCACAGCGGUCUUUAGCUGCGAGCCUGCUGACUAGAGAGCUCUUUUCUCCAAAGAAGCUAUGGAAGUUGGAUCCACCAGUUCUGCACAGACUUCUUUCCUAAAUCUCCUUCUUCCUUGAAAUUUGACCACUACAAAAAGUACAGAAGCCUCUGUUUGCUCCCAUACAAGUAAACAAGAAAUCUUCACAUUUUCUUUCUAUCCCACUUCUUAAUGAAAUGUAAUUGCCACCUUGAUCCUGUUGGAAUGAAGAUUGCAUGUCCCCCAAAGAGAGCACCUGGCUUGCUCACAAGAAAUAUGUAAACCAUAAAGGUAGUUUUUUCAAGUUAAGGGCUUUGGAAGGGGAAUUCAUCAUUGGAUUGUAAUGCAUUGAGUCACUGACUGAGAUAGGUUCUGGGUUGCAGCUUGCUGUUGAGGGCAAAGUCUUGUCUCUUAUAAAUUUUUUUGCUUAAACAUGAGGUCAUCUUGUUCUAUGGAAAGUUUAGUGCAUUCAUCUUCCCUGCAGCAAGGUAUGCAUAAAUCAGACUAUGUUAUGAUAGAAGUGCUCGCUGAAACAAAUUCCUAAUAAAAGAAUAAACAGGGAAGCAAUCCAUCUGUACCCUUGACGUUUCUCAGUGAAGCCUUCCGAGAUGCACAGCUUAGGAAGGGACUGGCUUAGU